rnacentral:rRNA from 1 species
GACGAACGCUGGCGGCGUGCUUAACACAUGCAAGUCGAGCGGUAAGGCCCUUUCGGGGGUACACGAGCGGCGAACGGGUGAGUAACACGUGGGUGACCUGCCCUCAGCUCUGGGAUAAGCCUGGGAAACCGGGUCUAAUACUGGAUAUGACUCCAUGACGCAUGUUGUGGGGUGGAAAGCCUUGUGCGGCUGAGGAUGGGCCCGCGGCCUAUCAGCUUGUUGGUGGGGUNANGGCCUACCAAGGCGACGACGGGUAGCCGGCCUGAGAGGGCGACCGGCCACACUGGGACUGAGACACGGCCCAGACUCCUACGGGAGGCAGCAGUGGGGAAUCUUGCGCAAUGGGCGAAAGCCUGACGCAGCGACGCCGCGUGAGGGAUGACGGCC